UUUUUGUUCAUUAUGUCUGUGUUUUUAUUUGCUAAUCUAGUAACUUUUUAAGGGCUGGUAAAGACAUAAAUUUAAACACUAAAAAACUCUGGGUUAAUAAAAAGUUUUAUUUUAUGUUAUCUAUGUUAUACUAGCUACCCGUACAUACUUCGUUCUGUCAAAAGUAAUACUCGUAGUAAAAAUUGAAUUUUUUUUUUUUUUGUAUUAUAAACCUUCCGUAGGCCUCAAGGAACAUACAAAAAAUAAAUUAGCCGAAGUGGUCGAACCGU
rnacentral:misc_RNA from 1 species